AGAGUUGAUCCUGGCUUAGAACGAACGCUGGCGGCGCGUCUUAAGCAUGCAAGUCGAACGGCAAGAGGUAGCAAUACCUCCUAGAGUGGCGGACUGGUGAGUAACACGUGGGUGACAUACCCUCGAGAUGGGGAUAGCUAUUAGAAAUAGUAGAUAAUACCGAAUACGAGCACAGGGGUUAGAGAUCUGUGAGGAAAGGAGCUAAGGCUCCGCUGAAGGAAUGGCCUGCGGCCCAUUAGCUAGUUGGUGAGGUAAGAGCCCACCAAGGCGAUGAUGGGUAUCCGGCCUUAGAGGGUGAACGGACACAUUGGGACUGAGAUACGGCCCAGACUCCUACGGGAGGCAGCAGCUAAGAAUAUUCCGCAAUGGACGAAAGUCUGACGGAGCGACGCCGCGUGGAUGAAGAAGGCCGGAAGGUUGUAAAAUCCUUUUGAAACUGAAGAAUAAGCGUUGUAGGGAAUGACAGCGUGGUGACAGUAGGUUUUGAAUAAGCAACGGCUAAUUACGUGCCAGCCGCUGC
rnacentral:rRNA from 1 species